rnacentral:rRNA from 1 species
UACCCUUGACAUGUCCGGAAUCCCGAAGAGAUUUGGGAGUGCUCGAAAGAGAGCCGGAACAC